rnacentral:rRNA from 1 species
AUGCCUCCCUCCGUCUCGCCGCGGGGCGACGAGGCCGAGGCCGGUGCGCCUGUGCCCGACCCCGCCGCGCUGGCGCGGUGGGUGCGGGCGUUAUGCAUUACUCGCUCCGACCCGAAGCAAGGACAGCUGGUGGAGCGUUGCAUUCCGGCGGACGCGCUCGAUCACGGCUGCCUUGACCGGCACAUCGUCUUAUCCUCCCUCCUGGAAUCCACCUCUCACCAUCCCUCCCCCUUGCCGGUCCACGACUCUAUAUUCUCCUUCCGUAUUCCGAACCCACCCCCUUCUGCGGAGGGCAGCUUCAUAUACGGCUUUGUAUUCAACCGCCAGCGCCAGCGCCAGCACCCAGACCGCGUCGAGCAGAAGUCGUUUGUGAUACUUUCGGAUGCUCCUUAUGCUGGUCUGUUCCGUGAUCUGGUCCAGAUGUUUGGCCCUCAAUGCCUGGACACCAGCCAGACCGCGCUGUGGACUGUGGCAUCGCAAGUCGCUGACUGGCCGGACCCAUCACCAGGGUGCCCCAUGGAGCUCCCCGUUGGCAGCACCAUGCUGCGAGUCCAUCUCCCGCUUGCCGCUGCAGGCGCUAUCCCACUGUUGCUGCCGCAGAACCCGGGUCCUUUUCAUGAAGUCGAUUUAUUUACUGAGUUCUCUGGUCUGCUGGAUGACCUCUGGACAUUGUGGGAAUUGAUGUUAAUCGGUGAACCCAUACUAGUUGUGGCGCAAUCACCAGCUCAUUGCUCCGAGGUUGUCUGCGGUUUGGUUAGUCUCAUUGCCCCAGUGUUUUCCAGUGUGGAUUUCAGGCCAUAUAUUACUAUUCCCAGUCCAGACACUCGACGCCUUGCUGAACUUGUAGAAGACAAGGUCCCAAUUAUUCUCGGCGUGACAGACUUACUGUUUCUGGAGGUUUUCAAUAGUAUACCAAAUGUUGUGUCCGUAGGGAUCUCUGGUGGGCAAUCCCCAGCAUCAACAAAUCGGUUAAAUGAGAGGCCCGUGAAGCUAAAGUGUUUGAUGAAAGCUAUACACUUAAGAAGAGGCCCUCUUUCCCUCUUGUCAGAGUAUAGGGAGGCCCUAUGGAGUGAAUAUGUGCCAGUUACAAACCCAGACGAGUCUGUUCUAAGAAGACUCGUGGACUCCAAGUCCAUGUUAGCCAUCAACAACACAACACUGCGGCAGCAUUUCUUGGAGCUCACAAGCAAUUUUCUUGCUCCUUUUGAACCAUAUCUGAGAAUUACAACACCAUCUGAUGGGAGUUCUCGCUUUGUUGAUCAUUCACCACUGUUGCCACCAUUUGAAAAAGGCGAGUUUCUCAAGGGUUUAGCUGCUAAAGGUACUGACGAAUCAAUGGCAGCAGUCCAGAAACUGAGGACAGACCUCAAAGCAGCAUUCAGUCUUCUCCCAGAUGACACACAACAGCUGCUACUUUUUGACCAGAAAAGAGCCAUGCUUCUUGAAGUCAACGAAGAAACAGUCUCAGGAUCUGGUGACGUUGUCUCCGGGACAGGCCCUGGAAAAUCAUUUGUUCAGAUGGUUACAGAACCCUCAUAUCUACCCGAUUUCUUCCUCAAACCCCCUGCUACGAGCUCAGUGGUAAUUGGGCUGAACUAUCAGAAAAGGGGUGACAUGAGUUUUUUGCUGCUUUCAUUGCGUGAGACCGUUUACUUUGUCGACACUAUCCGCGGGAAAAAGAUUGUUGAAGCUUGCAAGGUGGUGUUGGAGUCGUUGACCAUAAAAAAAGUUAUUCACAGCUGUGUACCUUUAAGCAAGUUACUCUUUAAUGAAUAUGGCAUCACUCUUCGUAAUGUGAUGGAUACUCAGGUCGCGUAUUCUUUAUUGCAAAAUCAGAAACAAGAAAAUCCAGAAUGGGAGGACUUGUCCCUGACGAACCUUUUCACCGAUUAUCUCUUCCAAGGAAUGACAUCCAGUGCAGCACAAGAUGACAUAAAGCUGCAAUGUCAGGAUUUGGCAAGAUCAUGCUCGUCCUUGUCUGAUGAUAUGAUUGAGGCACUAGAAGUAGGAUAUGUAUGGCUUCUGCCUUCUUUACAUGGUAUGCUUGAAAAUGCAUUACCCAACUCAUCUUUUUGGGAUGUUGCAAUUCUAAGUACUGAGCUUUUGAGGCAUGGACAUUGGUCGGGUUCUGAAGUCACGCCAAGUUCUGACUUAACCGGGGCUGGGUUGAGUUUCCAGGAUGAAAUGAUGGAAUCAUUUACAGAACGGUGCACGAAGAUUGUGUGUGCAUAUGCUCAAACUCAGAUUACUGCUUGUAGUGGUGAUGGCCUAUUUUUACUAGCCGAGUCUUUCAGAUUCGUGAUUAAUAUGUUGCUCAUUCAAAAGAAAACCUGGAAAGGCAGAUUUGAGCUGUGCCAUCUGGUCAUCAGGAAUGGCAAGUUCUUAAUCUUGAUGCCGACUGUUGCUGACGCUAGUGCUGAAAGCGCAUUUCUUGAUCUAAAACAACUGUAUAUUCUCAUCAAGCCUUUUUUCAAAAACAACGGCAGAUUUGCAAAUUACGUCUCGAGUCUGAAAAUGACCAUCGAUGAACGUUCAAAGACCGUUACUGAUUCUCAGCUAGAGUCGAAGACCAUCCCACCUAUCCCAUUAAGAACAAAUGUACCAGAUGAAGCUAAAGAAGCACAGGACAAGGCAAUCCUGAAUGAACGCGUUGCUGAAAUCGUAGAGUAUUUUUUGGGAGUUGUUCGCAGACCGAAAAACAAAACUGCUGAUAAGGAGGGUUUACAACAGGUAGUUCAAACUCUUGAAGAGCCUGGCCACAUAUGUGGGCACUACUAUGGGAACUUCCUUGCGCAAGCGGUGUUCUCAAUCUUUAUGGAGUUUCGCCCUAAUGACAAUGAAGCGUAUGCACGCUAA